CAAUAGCGUAUAUUUAAGUUGUUGCAGUUAAAAAGCUCGUAGUUGGAUUUCGGGUAGGAUUUGCCGGUCCGUCUUUGAGAUGUGUACUGGUAAGUCCUAUCUUCUUGUCGGGGACCAGCUCCUGGGCUUCACUGUCCGGGACUGGGAGCCGACGAAGUUACUUUGAGUAAAUUAGAGUGUUCAAAGCAAGCCAUCGCUCUGAAUACAUUAGCAUGGAAUAACAUGAUAGGACUCCGCUCUUAUUUUGUUGGUUUCCGAGACUGGAGUAAUGAUUAAGAGGGACAGUCGGGGGCAUCCGUAUUUCAUUGUCAGAGGUGAAAUUCUUGGAUUUAUGAAAGACGAACUUCUGCGAAAGCAUUUGCCAAGGAUGUUUUCAUUAA
rnacentral:rRNA from 1 species